GCAGAUUUGGCCCAAGCUUGUAACUCCCAAGUGACACACACGCUCUUGAUACUGCAUCUAAUGGAAGAAUACGUGUGAUUUACUUAAGACUGUUAUUCGGUAGAAGUUGACACAGCUGUCUUAUUCUUGCUAACACUGAGCAAAAGUGGAAAAAAGUCAAAAUCUUGUAUUGCAUAUUUUGCAAUAAAUUGUUUUGACCUUUUAAUAAUUUGAAAAGCUAGCAAUUCAUAAACUGAUUAACAAAAUUGUAAUCUUUGAAAACAAAUAGGAAAACCC
rnacentral:lncRNA from 1 species